rnacentral:miRNA from 1 species
GCAGACACAUUCCAGCCAAUCAGCAGCAGACCCUCCCUCCCAGACCCUCCCACCUCCUGGACAGCAUCCAUUGUGAAGCUGCAUUCUUAAUGAGCUGUCCAGGAGGUGGGAGUGACUGGGAGGGAGGGUCUGCUGCUGAUUGGCUGGAAUGUGUCUG